rnacentral:lncRNA from 1 species
AGGGAUGUCCCACUAUGCGUGAACCAAUAUCUAAACUUGUCAACUAACCGACUGUCCCCAUACCUCGUCUGGUAUGAGUGCCAAAAAUACUAUCCCUCGAUACCCCGUCCGGUAUGAGGUAAUGUUCAUGGUAGGGUUCCCUAUGUACCCGGUCCGUCUACCAUAUCUUAGGAUAUUUAGUAAGACAACCAUUCAUUAAUUUAUAUAACCAAGUAAUUUUUUGUUUGCAUAUUAAUUUUUAAUUUCAUAAAUCAACCGUUAAUCAUGCAAGACAAGCAAUAUAUGUAUCAAGAAAGCACAACUGAAUCAUUUGACCAUUAUAGUAUUUUAUCAU